UCUUGCGCAAUGGGCGAAAGCCUGACGCAGCCAUGCCGCGUGAAUGAUGAAGGUCUUAGGAUUGUAAAAUUCUUUCACCGGGGACGAUAAUGACGGUACCCGGAGAAGAAGCCCCGGCUAACUUCGUGCCAGCAGCCGCGGUAAUACGAAGGGGGCUAGCGUUGCUCGGAAUUACUGGGCGUAAAGGGCGCGUAGGCGGAUCGUUAAGUCAGGGGUGAAAUCCCGGGGCUCAACCUCGGAACUGCCCUUGAUACUGGCGAUCUUGAGUAUGAGAGAGGUAUGUGGAACUCCGAGUGUAGAGGUGAAAUUCGUAGAUAUUCGGAAGAACACCAGUGGCGAAGGCGACAUACUGGCUCAUUACUGACGCUGAGGCGCGAAAGCGUGGGGAGCAAACAG
rnacentral:rRNA from 1 species